GAUAAACGCUGGCGGCGUGCCUAACACAUGCAAGUCGAACGAUCCCGCAAGGGAGAGUGGCGGAAGGGUGAGUAACACGUGGGAAUCUACCUCCUCGCAGGGAACAACCUCUCGAAAGAGAGGCUAAUACCCAAAAGGGUCAGAAAUGAUCAGAGUCGAAAGGCGUGGGGAGAGGAGCCCGCGGCCCAUCAGCUAGUUGGUGAGGUAAUGGCUUACCAAGGCUACGACGGGUAGGGGAUCUGAGAGGAUGUCCCCCACACUGGAACUGAAACACGGUCCAGACGCCUACGGGUGGCAGCAGUGAGGAAUAUUGGACAAUGGGCGAAAGCCCGAUCCAGCAACGCCGCGUGGAGGAUGAAGGCCUUCGGGUCGUAAACUUCUUUAGAGGGAGACGAGAAAGGACGGUAUCCCUAGAAUAAGCGACGGCAAACUACGUGCCAGCAGCCGCGGUAAU
rnacentral:rRNA from 1 species